UAUCUAUCUAUCUAUCUAUCUAUCUAUCUAUCUAUCUAUCUAUCUAUCUAUCUAUCUAUCUAUCUAUCUAUAACUGGAGACAUGUACAGUGAGGUGAGUGUAUCGUGCCUUUGAAACGCUCCCCAGACGCCGUUUUGCUGUUAACCCACAGUGACUCUGCUCUCUCCAUCAACCUUUCAUGUACCCCUUCCCGGGUCCACUCUCCUGCUGUGACACAUUAACAUUGUAAUUGCCUUUUUUUGAGCACAAUAAACGGAGCCGGUCCGCUGGGACCUGCAUGGCCCCGGGAGCUGGCACAAAGCCUUGCCAUCGAUUUUUCACACUCACCGCUUCUCACUGCUGUCGUCGCCGUUGGAGAAGGGAAAGAAAAAUCUGAGCCAUCAACAAACACAGACCCGGUCUGAACAUGCAUGAUGUGUUUGUCUUCGGGUUUCUGCUGAACAUCUGACGCCUGCCUGCGGGCAAGUCUGAUGAAUUGUUGCAGAAAACAGAGCUAAUUGUUAUUUUAAAUGCUCAAUUCAAAGCUUCAGAUGCUCAUUAACACACCCCACUAUUAUCAGACAUAAUUUAGAAGUCCAUGUGAAUUACAAAGAAAGAUCCAUGUUUCCCAUAUUGAUCAGGGCUUUAAGUGAUGCUAAAUAAUCAAUAUCCAUCACAUUUAAUCUACCCCACUUCAGUAAGAACUCCUUACUGUCCUCACAUCCUGAGGUCCACACGGGGUGUACAUUUAACUCAGUGCAAGUGUACGUACAUGUGUGAGUAGAGAGUGAAGUCAAUGAAGGAGCAGACCUUGGAGGCCGCUCUGUUGAUGUAUAACGGUUUUGUUCUCAUUAAAGUUUUAUGUCAUGAAUGCAGAAACAUCUUGUCAGCUCUCGCAGGGAAUCUCUCGCUGGAAUCAGGCUGAAAGGAUCACAGUGACACACACGAGCUGGAUAAUUUUGAUUUAUGAAGUUGCAACUUCAAGACUUCAUCAGUAUCAUCUUACUCUGUAGGGCGUGACAGGUGGACAUCUGCCACAGGUGUUUCCCUUCCACUUUUAACAAGUGGAGCAUUUAAGGAGGCAGGAACCAGAUGGAAGACGUCAGAGCAGCUCACCCAGAGCGAUGUUCACUCACUUCUGGAUCCAGAUCUGGUCCUCAUGUCGCCCUGGUCUUCUUGGAAAAGUCCAAGCUUUAGUCCACUGCCAUGGCCUCUCCAACUUUCCUGUUUCUCCUGUCAUGCUUUGCGCCAGUAACACCAACCCUCCCAGCGCGCCACCGUCUGCCUGUCCACCCUCAGACGUGCUCCAUUCUCAGUCGUCCACAACACGCCACCAUUCGUCCUAUGCCAUUUCACUGCUCCCGAGGACUUCAUCUACCACUCGAUCCAUAAGUCAGCCUCUUUAUUCCACCUACCUGGCUUGCUGUCGGUGCUCAGACUUGUCUGUUUCUAUCUCCACAGUGAGCGACCAGAGCCCUCCCGGUUUCCCAGCCAUUAUCUUGCACCCUUUUCAAUAAACCUUCUUAUACAACAUCCAAGCCUCCGUGUUUGUGACCCGUUUAGAGUCCACAUGAAAAAACUAAUUAUAGGCCCUUUUCCAUUAGACCACAAAAGCCCACCAUGUGUUUCCAUAUGGGGGAUUUUACUUUCCCUGGGCUUUACUUUCACAGGAAAAAGGUCCUGGUCUUAGGAAAGGACUCUUAAAGAAGCUUGGGGCUUUGCAUAAGGGGC